rnacentral:rRNA from 1 species
AUUGAACGCUGGCGGCAGGCCUAACACAUGCAAGUCGAACGAGUGGCGGACGGGUGAGUAAUGUCUGGGAAACUGCCUGAUGGAGGGGGAUAACUACUGGAAACGGUAGCUAAUACCGCCUAACAUCCGAUGUGCCCAGAUGGGAUUAGCUUGUGGGUGGGGUAACGGCUCACAAAGGCGACGAUCCCUAGCUGGUCUGAGAGGCGGACCAGCCACACUGGAACUGAGACACGGGCCAGACUCCUACGGGAGGCAGCAGGGGGGAAUAUUGCACAAUGGGCGCAAGCCUGAUGCAGCCAUGCCGGGUGUAGGAAGAAGGCCUUCGGGUUGUAAAGUACUUUCAGCGGGGAGGCGUUACCCGCAGAAGAAGCACCGGCGAACUCCGUGCCAGCAGCCGCGGUAAUUC